AAGAGGCUUUAGCAUGGAGAAGAGGAGGCUCAUGUAAGAUCUUGUCAUUCUCCACAACUACCUGAGUGGAGAUUGUAGUGAGAUGCUCCACAAUGAGAGGAGGGGAAAGAAACAGCUGCAAAGCAGAAUGAGCCCCUCUGUGGAAUGAUGCACUGAAGAGGUCACAUUGAUUCAAAAUCAGAGUUUUUGCAACAUAAAGUGAAGGCCACGCUGGUCUGAAAACAACAAAGACUGUUAUUAAAACAUUAAAAAAUUGAACAAAUAAAGAAACAAAAAACAA